CCUGGCAGUGAUGCUAACUUAACACUUUGACUUUAGCAAGAGUGAAAUUACACUUACAUGCACUACCAUCUGAGCCAGG